UCCUCCAACAUCUUCAAUUUCAGAUAUCUCAUUCAUCUCUUCUUUGUUUCUCUCGCUUCUCAAUUAUCUCUUCCUCGGAUCUUUGUUACAAGCAUUUUGAGAGAAAAAUUUUUGCUUCGACACGGGCAAUUGCUGAGGAGAAACAAUCACUAGACUGGGAAUUUCGUGAUUUAUCUGCAAGUAUCGUUGAGCAAUUGAACAAGCUUAGUGGUUUUAAGAAGUAUAAGGUCUCUGAUAUUUUGUUCUUUGGUUGACACACCACAAUCUCGUUUGAUAAGGAGAAUCUUGAUUAUUGCAAAGGUCGUUGGAUUCGUAUCGAUUCAGGUGAAUCAAAUUCUUUGGUUCGAUAUGAAAUUACCUCCUUAAUCUUUUUCUUCUUGAUUUCUUUUAUCUUAUGUAUGCAAUAGAAGCACUUUCAUUUGAUCUUGUUGCUUGCAAGAUUAGUGUUUAUCCUUAAUCUUUAGCAUGCUGGUUUAUGUUGACCACAAGUCUCCUAACGUUUUUGUUUCUCUAAUUUUUUGUGCUGAGUAAUUUUGUUUAAUCA